rnacentral:lncRNA from 1 species
CCCCAAAGUGUUGCUUGCGAUUACAGGCUUGAGCCACCGCUCACCCUGGCUUUUUUUUUUUUUUUUUCCAGACAAACUCUCGCUCUGUCGCCCAGGCUGGAGUGCAGUGGCGCGAUCUCGGCUCACUGCAGCCUCUACCUCCCGGGUUCCAGCGAUUCUCCUGCCUCAGCCUCCUGGGUAGCUGGGAUUACAGGCGCAGGCCACCACGCCCGGCUAAUUUUUGUAUUUUUAGGGGGUUUCGCCAUGUCGGCCAGGCUGGUCUCGAGCUCCUGACCUCAGGCGAUCCGCCCGCCUCGGCCUCCCAAAGCGCUGGGAUUACAGGCGUAAGCCACCGCGCCGGGCUCUUUCAUUCUGUCUUUAUUUUCUGAGAUAGAGUCUCGCUCGGACGCUCAGGUUGGACUGCAACGGCGUGAUCUCGGCUCGCUGAAACUUCCGCCUCCCGGGUUCAAGCGAUUCUCCUGUCUCAGCCUCCCGAGUAGCUGGGAUUAUUGACGGCAGCACCACGCCCGGCUACUUUUUGUGGUUUUUGUAUCUUCUGUCUUCUGCUCUUUAGUACCGCAUAGAGCCGCAGAAGACUAGCGAGUCGAACAAACGGCCCCUCUUGCAGCAGUUGUUGAUCACGGGCUGCCCCCCGGUACUCAUCCUGUGUCUCUCGUCCAAAUCCCCGCUCCUCCUCAGCUAUCACCUCUGCCGAUGCUGGUGGUUUCCCUGGGUACCGGGAACCAAACUCUCAUUCCCCAGC